CUUUCCAGAGAGGGACCUUGUAAGGCUGACUUUGGAAUAUGACUGCAUUCUGGUAAGCCCACUGGAUAAGUGAGCUAUAACAUAAAUCCUUAGGUUAUAAGGAGGAGAGCUUACUAGAACUAUUUAUUAGUAGCCAAUGUUUACCUGCCAAAAAUGAUUUUAAUUUAUAUGUUUUCCCAGAAAACACAUCCAGCUAUGUAUUUCUAGAGUCUGAAGGUAAGACCAUGCUGAGAGCAUAAGGAUGUUAUCUUUUUAUUUUAUGGUGGGGAGAUGAAAGAGAGAUGUGUUUAUUAACCAAAAGCCAUGACAAAUUAUUUAAGGACAAGUUACAAGGGGAAUAAGGAUACAAGUGCAGUAAACAUAAGCCUGAUUUUAUACUCUUUAAAGUAAAAAUUUGCUUCUAGAGAGCCUAACAGCUCCUAACAUCCUACCCAUUUGAUUCCUCAGAUUCAAUAAACAUUUAUUGUUUACUGUUAUCUACAAAGUGAUUUUAAUGCAUUAUUUCAUCUGAUCCAUACCAAAACUCAUUUUGAUGAUUAGGAAACAGCCUAGAAAAACUGGAUAACUUGCCCAAGAUUUUAACAGGACCCAGUGUUACCACCUUACAUUGCUUCUUUGUGAUACUUCCUAAAGUUUUAUUCCAAAGUGAUAAAUUUUUUUUAAAAUUAUAAUUGACAUUUCACUGAUUUGCUGUUGGGGGACACUUAAGGUUGUGAGGGUAAAAUAAUUAAGGCUAAAAUAUUAAUGAUGUUCACAUCCUCAAAGUACUUUGUUACACAUAUCUCAAAAGAACACAAUUUCACUCUACAAGGACUGUGUUCAAAAUAUUAAUUUGUUUACAGUUUUUUUUUAAUCGGGGUCUAUUAAUCCGAUGAUUAUUUAUAUAGUGCCUGGGUUAAAAGCUCUUCCUCCAGGGACUUGCUUAAAUGAAAGGAUUCAACAAAAUACCCAUCGUCAAAGAGAUUUUUGAGUUCCAAGCUAGAAAGAGUCCUGAGGUCUUCAAAGCUCAAAAUAACUAUCACAUAGUUAUAGAUCUGGAAGAAGUGGCAUAAUAUAGCAUCAGUGGGAAAUGAUAUAGCUCAAACUAUUUUUUGAAUCUGAUCUCUUUUCUAAAACCACAAUUGUUACAUAAGGAAGAAUAUAAAGCCACAUGCCUCCUAGUUUGUAAUUGGCAUCUACUACCUUCAUAAAUGUUAUAAUUAGAUGUCAGUGUUUCAUUAUCCUAUCAUAAUUAGGGCAAGUGCUCCUUGGAGACCCAAAGGGUUAACUAUCAAAAUGGGGUUAGAAAAGAAACAGAACAGAGACACAACCCAUUUCUUUGAGUGCUGAGGACACAAAGACUCAGAAGAUAAAUCAGUGCUUCAUUGUCAUUUAAAUAGGGAAAUACUACAUCUUUUUAGAAGUGGUUAACCAACAAGAAGACUGUUUAAAUAGUAUAAAUAGAAUGUGUAAGCACCUAUAGACUAACAUAACUUGUUAACACAUAUUGUUUUUUCACUAGCAUUUUUAGAUUAGAGAAUAUUACUACUACUAGUUCAUGUCUAUUGAAUACUCUUAUUGAUCAUGACGUUUUUUUCUCAGCACUUGCACGUGCUAUCUCCUUUUAUCCCCAGAACAUUCGUACUAUUAUUAUCCUCAUUUUACAGAUGAGGACAUGGAUGCACACAAAAUCUAAAUAACUUCCCCAAAGUCCCAUAACUUUUGAGUGGUAGGGAUGGGAUAAACCCAGAUAGUCUUACAUUAUAACACAAUUUAACCUAUGUUUAGGGCUCUCAGAGGAGGGUAUAUAUUGGCACAGUGAUUGGCAUGUGUGAUCCAGCUGGAACUAGGAGGAGUUGAAGAUGGAAGGAAAAAAUACAUGGGCUAAAAAACUGGACAUUUUGAUGAGUUCAAAGUAUGAGUCCUAGUAGUAACUAGUAAUAAGGUGGGAAAUAAAAGAGGUUUUUACCAGAUAGCAGCAGGUUGUAUUUAAGAUUUCAGUUCAAGUUACAACGAGGCCUAAGGUAUGGUCACAGAAGUAAGUAGCUGAGAUAGAAGAAAGAAGUGAAGGUCCUUAGAGAUAUAGUUGGCAAAGCAGUGAGAGGCUAAGAUAUCCUUUGGGAUGUUCAUCUGGGAACUUAAUUCACCUCAAAUUAUGGCAAUAAUUAAGGGCAGCAGAUAAAUGCCUUGAGUUAUAUCCCCAAUUCUUUAUAAAACAGAUGGAGAGAUUUCCAGUUUAAGAUGCCAUACUGAACAUAUACACUGAUCUCUUUGCCUUUGGAAACUCCAUUAAGCUGAUUGUAAAGGAGGAAAAGGAUUCUCACAUGACAAUGAAGAGACUGAAGAAGUAUCAUCAAUGGAUAAAGCAGAAUAGAAAUAGCAGCCGCCUGGACCAUACCUAGAAAGGAAUCAUUUUGCCUGGCAGAAGCAUGAAACAGUUCCAUAUUUGAGAUGGCAUUUACCACUGAGGGUAAGAAAGGGAGAUGGGGCUGAAAAAAGAGAACUGGUUGGAAAUCCAUACAUGGACUCUUCACCUCUGG
rnacentral:lncRNA from 1 species